rnacentral:tRNA from 10 species
CGCUUUCUCGUUCGGCGGGAAAGGCACAUGUUGGAGCUCGAUGUUGGGGCUCAGGGUGUGGUUGAUUUGUCUGCUGAUCUGGGUUUCUUCCCAGCACCGGGCAGGAAGUGUAGGAGUUUGGGUCGCCAGUCCAGGGACUCGGGAAACUUCCAGGCCAACCAGAAGAAACACUUGCAGACACCUUUCGAAUGUCACAGUUUUCCCCAGGGGAAAAAGCAGAAGUUGCUGGGCACAUCACCCAGCACCCGGGCAAACUCUCCACUUACCUCGCGCCCUGCUAGGGGGUGUUGGGGGCCCUCCGGGAACCCCUAGAUGAGCAAGCAAAGUUGCAAGAAGUGGGGUGGGGAACGCUCACCCGAUAAACCAUGCACCAAACUUAAUCAGCCUGUAAUGCUUACUCUAAAUCUAGGCCCAUCUAGGCCAGGUGGGCUGAGUCUUGGGAUAGUGGGUGUCUCCUUCCUAUGUUGAUACAUUAAGGAUUCCAUAUGGACAAUUAUUUUUAGUCAAAUUUGUGGUCCUGGAGAUAGAAAGAGGAGAAGAAGAGAGAAGAAAGACAGAAGAGCUUUAUUGUUCUUUUUUUUUUUUUUUUUUUUUUGAGAUGGAGUCUCGCCCUGUUGUCCAGGCUGGAGUACAGUGGCGCCAUCUUGGCUAACUGCAACCUCCACCUCCCCGGUUCAAGCAAUUCUCCUACCUCAGCCUCCUGAGUAGCUGGGACUACAGGCAGCCGCCACCAUGACCAGCUAAUUUUUUUUUUUACUUUUAGUAGAGAUGGGGUUUCACCAUGUUAGCCAGGAUGGUCUCGAACUCCUGACCUUGUGAUCCGCCCACCUCAGCCUCCCUAGGUGCUGGGAUUACAGGCGUGAGCAACCACCCGGCCUUAUUGUUCUUAUAUUAAAACAAAAGAACCUAGAAAAAAUUGCUUGGUUAAAUUGUAGAGAGGAAGGGAGGGAAGGAAAAUGAAGGCUUUUCUUCUUUGUUCUUUAAAAGUCCAAGCACUUUCUUUCAGAAUCAAAAUGUAGAGAGGCAGUCAGUCUUGGAGCAUGCUUUUGCAUUUUAGGAUACUACUCAUUAAUUCAGUUUUAAAGCAUUCACUGGGUUGAGCACAAUUUUAAAAAGGUUCUGACUCACCCAGAUCCUGUUUGAAGCUCAACUCAUUUUGAUUGAAAGAGAUUUGAGACAAGAAUUUCAGAAGAGAAAAAUGUGUGUUACACCUGGACAUAUAUACACAUGUAACAGGGAUUGUAUUCCUUCUAGUCUAAGACAAGAGAUUCUAUGGUAAAUUAUUUAAAAAAAUUAGUUUUUUUUCUAGCAUUGUAUUGUCACCAGAAAGAAGAGUGCUGAAUUCUCUGUUUCUGCAUUUCCCAAUAAUAAAUCUCCUAGGAGAGAUAACUUUUUGCAGUUGUGCCCCCCACCCAUUUUCUCUGUGGCUUGCUUUAUUUCCCACAUAUGAAUACACACACAGCAGAUACAUCAUGCACAAACUUUUUUUAAUGUGUAAUCUGUAAAUCUAGGCCCAUUAAGUUUUCAUUGAAGUUGGGAAACUGUUGAGGACUUACUUUUGUUCUUCACCAUGCGUGCACUUUGCCAAGGAUCUUUGGUAACCAAUAAAACGAUCAUGUUCACUCUGAAUGUAUUUCUUUGUGAUUAAAUGGAAAAGAGUAUUCAUGAACUGCUUAAACAGUAUUUUUAUACCAAAACAUCAACGCAUAAUGAAAAAUGAGCUAUAGUUGUUCCAAAUGUUCAGAAUAGCAGCUUUGCAUUUACAGUCAUAUUUUGGCAAAACUAUUUCAUAUUAAUUGAAAAUGAUACAACAGUGCAUGCAUUCUGUGGAGGGAUGCUUAUUCACUUAGCUGCACCAUGAAAAAUUUAAACUAUCUGGUUCGAAUGACCUGCAAUGCCUACUGAAGGAAGGGUUGGAAAAUUAGGAACUAUGAAAUUAUUUGUGUGUUUUUUUGGCCUUUUCAUGAAGCUUGAAUUAAAUCUAGUUUUUGUGAAAAAUAAAACUAAAGCAAUAUAAGAAUCCCUUAAGUUGGUCUUAUAAAAUCAUAUGGUUUUUUUUUUUUUUUUGAGAUGGAAUUUCACUCUGUCACCCAGGCUGGAGUGCAGUGGCACAAUCUUGGCUCACUGCAACCUCUGCCUCCUGGGUUCAAGGGAUUCUUCUGCCUCAGCUUCCUGAGUAGCUGGGACUACAGGCACUCGCCACCACACCCGGCUAAUUUUUUUGUGUUUUUAGUAGAGACGGGUUUUCACCAUAUUGGCCAGGCUGGUCUUGAAUUCCUGAUCUCGUGAUCCACCCGCCUCGGCUUCCCAAAGUGCUAGGAUUACAGGCAUGCGCCACCGCGCCCAGCCAUAUGUGAUUAUUAUAAAAAAUCUGUACCUUAAAGAUAUGUUAGUGAAACUAGAUGGAUACAAAUAUAACUAUUACCUUUUUUUUUCCCAGUGAUUUUUCUCUCUCAAAUGUAAGAUAUGUAGGACUCCAGAACAUGCACUGUAAUUUGUUCUGAUAAUAGGAAAACCAAUGCUGGUUUUCUCAGUGUCAUAGUUAUCAAGGGGCAAUGCCAAAAUCAUUAGAUAAGCAUCAUCCUUUCUAUCACAUCAUUGUCUACAUGAAAUUUCAUCUUAGAAAAUAUGCAAGAAUAUUAUAUUUGUUUCCAAAGCUUGAAAAUGCAAUAGAAUUUGAAGUAUUGAAAAUAUGAUUCCUGGUUGACAACAUCUUAGAAGUUGCAGAGGUGUCUCUUUUUGAGACGACUUUAAUAAUGACUGACUUUAAUAAUGUUACAAAGCAAGGGAGGAUUUCAAUAGCAAGCAAGAUGUGAUGAAUGGGCAUGAGGAACAGUGAAGCUAUUGACGAAACAUGCUAACUUUUAGAAUUCUAUCUAAAUUAUUUUUUUUCCAGUGCAGAGGAAGACACCCAAGUGUAUCAAUGUUCAUCAGAUGCAGGGUAAUAAAAAUAUUUAUAGUGCUCUUGGGGAGGCUCCUGGAAGAAGUGAUAUAUCAGACAGACAUACUAUUCAAAAGCUUAAAACUUAGCAUCUGACUAUAAACACCAUGCCACAAAGAAGCUUGGGAUGAAGGAUCACGAGGCGAGAGGAGUCCAGCACCCAGCACACCCACUGGGAGCUACAUGCAUGAGACCCCACCCAAUCAGCAGAACCAUACAGCCAACAGAAUCAUGAGAAAUAAGAAGUUGUUGUUGUUCUAAGCCACUAAGCUUUGGAGUGGCUUGUUACACAUCAAUAGGUAUCCAUGCUUGCAACUACUACAAUCAUCUAAAGUUGAGAGAGGCCGGGCCCGAUGGCUCACUCCUGUAAUCCCAGCACUUUGAGAGGCUUAGGCGGGCAGAUCACUUGAGGUCAGGAGUUCGAGACCAGCCAACAUGAUGAAACCCUGUCUUUACUAAAAAUACAAAAACAAGCCAAGCGUGGUGGCUUGUACCUGUAAUCCCAGCUACUCAGGAGGCUGAGGUGGGAGAAUCGCUUGAACCUAGGAGGUGAAGGUUGCAGAGUGCCGAGAUUGUGCCACUGCACUCCAGCCUCAAAAAAUGUUGAGAGAGAUUUUGUUGAUAUAGCAAGAGUAUAAAUUGUGCCGGGACGGUGGCUCAUGCCUAUAAUCCCAGCACUUUGGGAGACUGA